rnacentral:tRNA from 1 species
AUACAUUUUAUAUAAAUGUAUUAUAUAUAUUUAUAUUAUAUAUAUAAGGGGCGGAUGUAGCCAAGUGGAUCAAGGCAGUGG